CGUGAAAGAUGUGUACAUUUUAAGAUGUCAUUUGACUAUGCACUUUCAUUGCAGGAAAAUAACAAAAUGCGAUUGGUCAAUUGAACAAAAUCUAGCCGGUGUAAACACCUAAAAAAGUAUAGUAAACAUGUAUCAGACAUUACAUGGGAAACAGGGUAUAGCAUGUGUAAAGUGUAUUGUGUUUCAGCAACACAGCAAUACUUAUAAUGUGUGUUAUAUUUUUGUUGUUUUUUGUAGGACGCGCGCUUGUUUUACCAACUUUUCUUACAAAGAAUCUGUCGGUUAAGGAUGUUCUACUUCCACUUGCAUGUUCAUGAAGGGGAGCCAGGCUCUGCAGACUUCGAAGACUACAUUAGCGAUGGAUAUAACACUUUCGAACAAGCAUACAGAGCAUUGACAGAUUUUGAUGCAAAUGACGUUGGCCACACUUAAGAGGCAUUCACUCGGUCAAAAUCUGCAAACAAGGAAACGAACCCGUCGAAGUGAAAAGAAAACGUAUCGACGUCGAUAAGUUACAUUUAUUGGACGUGACAGCGGAGGAGUUUGGCGAAAUCCGUUUGUCAAAAGGGCUGACAUCGCUGAAAGAGAACGAAAAAGAGAAGAUGCCGGUAGCCGUGAUUCCAGCAGAUCCAGAUUCCAAUGUGCUGGCGACAGAGGUUAGGCAUUGAAUUGGGGCAGUAAGCGGAAUCAGCUGGCGUCAGGUCGAACUCUUCUGUGACCAUGUGAGGAAUCAUGUUUGUUCGCGUUAUAUAAACUAUUGCUUUUAAAGGGGCUAUGCCACUUGCAAGGGCCUCAAAAAUGUAAAAAAGAAGAAUAUUAUACGAUUUAUACAGAGUAUACUGGUCGUGUAAUUCCGGCCUUUUUGGGACCAAUUUUUUUAACUUUUGUUUUAAGAUAAUGGUUGAAACUAAACUUCACAUAUUUAAUCCUCGGUUCCAAACUCACGUAACAUGAACAUUUCAAUAGAAUUGGAUCAGUGUAUGUUACUUUUAUGAACAUAAAUUAAUGACUAUCAAUUUUCGUGGGUCAAUUGUACCAAAAAAAAUCGGCCACUUUUUAGUUUAUUCUGUAUGUAAAAUUACAAAGCCAUAUCUUUGGACAAAUGUCCUCAUUUAAAAGUAUUAAUCAAGGUUUACACAAACAACACUUUCGACUUGAAACUUCAAAUAUAUGCGGUAUUAUUAUACCAGUUACUCUCCCUACCUGUUUUAAAAAUAUAAACUAUCACUGUCAAUGAGGAACUGCAAAUUACCAGAAUGUUUUUUUUCUAAUAGGUUAAAUAGGUUUUAGUUUUAUUUUAUUUUUCAAACAUAGCUAAAAAAGUAAAUACAUGUUGUUUAAAAGUAAACACGUGUUGUUUAAAAAGUUGACCAAAGUGUCGAUUGUUUGUAAACAUUUAUGUUUAAUAUUACGGUAUUAUUUACCACAUGUAACCUUUUUAGUCUAAUCAAGGGAGGUUAUUAAAAGUUCAUAUUUAGAUGUUAACUUAUAUGUUUGAAAUGUAUGUUUUGUAUAAAAUCUAUUGAAAGAACAUUAGUUAGAAUAUACUAAAUAAAAAAAGGAUUUUAUCAAAUAUAUCUGUUUCUUAUAUGAUUAUAAUUUUCGCAGUUAUGAUGAUGUUACUUUCCCCAUGUGACACAUAUUUGCUGUUGUGAAACUGACAUUUUAAUACAAAAUUUAACAAUGAUAUGUUUAUUUAAAUUGCAAAAUUUUGUGAGUAGGGAUGUUUUUCAAGUUGCUUUUCCUAAAAAUUAAAAUAUGUGCGUUAAUAUCAUGACAGGUGGCCGAUUUUUUACGUACAGACCGGAAU